CAGUAGCCGCGGUAAUACGAAGGGUGCAAGCGUUACUCGGAAUUACUGGGCGUAAAGCGUGCGUGGGUGGUGGUUUAAGUCCGUUGUGAAAGCCCUGGGCUCAACCUGGGAAUUGCAGUGGAUACUGGGUCACUAGAGUGUGGUAGAGGAUAGUGGAAUUUCCGGUGUAGCAGUGAAAUGCGUAGAGAUCGGAAGGAACAUCUGUGGCGAAGGCGACUAUCUGGGCCAACACUGACACUGAGGCACGAAAGCGUGGGGAGCAAACAGGAUUAGAUACCCGUGUAGUCCCUGUCUCUUAUAC
rnacentral:rRNA from 1 species